CAAUCCGAACUAUUUUCAUAAAUGGCAGGAUCCCAGGCUGAGGGAGUUCGAGGUUUGGGAGACAGUUUAGCAGUCGCUGAGUCCAAACAUGUUGUUUUCCUAGAAAAGAAAACUGAGAUCCAGGAAAGGGAAGUGAUUUUCCAAAGACACACCUGUGAAAGGUAAUAAUUUCACUGAACUGAUCUUAAGUGGCAGGUGCACUAAGAUUGUCUGCUAUCUUCACAACAACCCCGAAGUAAAUAAGUGUUCUUAUCUUGGCCUUACAGGUGAGGAGAACAGCCCAGUGAGGCUGAGGCCACACAAUUAGCCCCAGUCUUUGCACUACAACUCUACCAGGGAUCCUGGUUUGGCUCAUUUUCUUUCUUCUGCACCAUGAUUGUUCACCUUUUCAUUACCAGCAACAUACCCAAAGACCUAGCUAUAGACUCGUUGGAAUCUGUUACUUAGCAGCUGUGUGAAUCAAGUGUUCAAUAGGAAUAAUAAGAUGUAUUCAUCUUACCUUUUCAGAACAUUAUGAAGAACAAAUGUGGUAAGACAUAUGAAAAUGCUUUGUAAAGUGUUAGAUGCUUAAUACACAGAAGACAUUGCUUCCAGAUCUGUUUCAACGUACCCCAAGAAUGGAAUAAGUGGAAUAUGCUGGUUUCAUGCACUGUGGCAAGGGGGUCUCAUCUUGGCUAGACUUGAAUAAGUGGAUUUGUUGCCUGGCCUCUGUGGAUGGCUCUUUCUCUGGGCUUUUGUGUAUUUGAUUUUUUAUUUGUUCCAGCAGCCAUGUUGAACCAUGAAAGGACCUCAGGAAUGAAACCCACACACAGCAAAGCAGCAAAGUGAAAGAAGCGUGGAUUCCUAAUGCAGGAGGCACUGAACCAAUCAAUACCCACUGCCCUCCAGACCUCCACAUGAAAGAAAAAAACUGCUGUCCUGUGAAGAAGACACUCCCCAGAUGCCAGCAACUU
rnacentral:lncRNA from 1 species